rnacentral:rRNA from 1 species
CAUCUUCGGGGGUAGAGCACUGUUUCGGCUAGGGGGUCAUCCCGACUUACCAACCCGAUGCAAACUACGAAUACCGAAGAAUGUUAUCACGGGAGACACACGGCGGGUGCUAACGUCCGUCGUGAAGAGGGAAACAACCCAGACCGCCAGCUAAGGUCCCAAAGUCACAGUUAAGUGGGAAACGAUGUGGGAAGGCACAGACAGCCAGGAUGUUGGCUUAGAAGCAGCCAUCAUUUAAAGAAAGCGUAAUAGCUCACUGGUCGAGUCGGCCUGCGCGGAAGAUGUAACGGGGCUAAACUGUGCACCGAAGCUGCGGCAGCGACACUAUGUGUUGUUGGGUAGGGGAGCGUUCUGUAAGCCUGCGAAGGUGGCCUGUGAGGGUUGCUGGAGGUAUCAGAAGUGCGAAUGCUGACAUAAGUAACGAUAAUGCGGGUGAAAAGCCCGCACGCCGGAAGACCAAGGGUUCCUGUCCAACGUUAAUCGGGGCAGGGUGAGUCGACCCCUAAGGCGAGGCCGAAAGGCGUAGUCGAUGGGAAACAGGUUAAUAUUCCUGUACUUGGUGUUACUGCGAAGGGGGGACGGAGAAGGCUAUGUUAGCCGGGCGACGGUUGUCCCGGUUUAAGCAUGUAGGCGGAGGUUCCAGGUAAAUCCGGUACCUUUUUAACGCUGAGGUGUGAUGACGAGGCACUACGGUGCUGAAGUAACAAAUGCCCUGCUUCCAGGAAAAGC